CUGACGUGUGUGUUCUUCCUUUCAGCACCUGGGAGACCGGUGGGCAGCCAUCUGUAAGUGGACAGAGGAGCAUUGGGUUCUGCUACAGGAGAUCCUGCUCCAGUGGCAACACUUCACUGAGGAACAGUGUUCGUUUGACUCAUGGUUGACUCAGAAGGAGAAGUUGGUUCUGUCCAUCCAGAGCAGUGGCAUCAAGGAGCAGAGUGACAUGGUGGCCAACCUGAGAAGACUAGCGACGGUGAAGGGUGACCUGGAGAUGAAGAGACCGACCAUGGACAAGCUGUGUUCUCUGUGUCAGGACCUCGUCUCCUCAGUGAAGAACAAAGA